rnacentral:misc_RNA from 1 species
GAUGAAGAACUCAGCGAAAUGCGAUACUUGGUGUGAAUUGCAGAAUCCCGUGAACCAUCGAGUCUUUGAACGCAAGUUGCGCCCGAAGCCAUUAGGCCGAGGGCACGCCUGCCUGGGCGUCACACGUCGUUGCCCCCCCAUCUACUCCUUCGGGAUUGCGGGGGGCGGAUGAUGGCCUCUCGUGCGCCUCGUCGCGCGGUUGGCCUAAAUGCCAAGUCCUCGGCGACGCACGCCACGACAAUCGGGGGUUGCGAAACCUCGGUUGCCUGUCGUGUGCGGUCGUCGCGCAUCGAGGGCUCGAAAAAAUUGCCGGGCUUCGGCUCGACUUUCAACGCGACCCCAGGUCAGGCGGGGUUACCCGCUGAAUUUAAGCAUAUCAAUAAGCGGAGGA